UACAGAGGGUGCAAGCGUUGUUCGGAAUUACUGGGCGUAAAGCGCGUGUAGGCGGCGGCGUAAGUCGGGUGUGAAAUCCCUCAGCUCAACUGAGGAAGUGCACUCGAUACUGUGUCGCUUGAAUGUCGGAGGGGAUGGCGGAAUUCCCGGUGUAGAGGUGAAAUUCGUAGAUAUCGGGAGGAGCACCUGUGGCGAAGGCGGCCAUCUGGACGACGAUUGACGCUGAGACGCGAAAGCGUGGGUAGCAAACAGG
rnacentral:rRNA from 1 species